CGGAGCCGUCCGUUCCAGGAGAGCUGCUUCAAGUGUAGGAAUUUAAUCGAGCACUUGGUGUGCGCUAUCUCAUAUUUCUGGCUCCCAAUAUGAUGAAGUCUAACAAAACCGGUCUCCUAACGUUUGCAGAGAGGUGCAAGAAUAUUCUUGCUUCCAACUGGAUUGGUAGCCUCAAUACGAUCAAAGCCGAUGCUAAAGGAAGUAAG
rnacentral:misc_RNA from 1 species